CCUACGGGCGGCAGCAGUGGGGAAUAUUGCACAAUGGGGGAAACCCUGAUGCAGCGACACCGCGUGAGUGAAGAAGUAUCCCGGUACGUAAAGCUCUAUCAGCAGGGAAGAACAUGACGGUACCUGACUAAGAAGCCCCGGCUAACUACGUGCCAGCAGCCGCGGUAAUACGUAGGGGGCAAGCGUUAUCCGGAUUUACUGGGUGUAAAGGGAGCGUAGACGGCAGCACAAGUCUGGAGUGAACUCCCGGGGCUUAACUCCGGAACUGCUUUGGAAACUGGGCGGCUGGAGUGCAGGAGGGGUAAGCGGAAUUCCUGGUGUAGCGGUGAAAUGCGUAGAUAUUAGGAGGAACACCGGUGGCGAAGGCGGCUUACUGGACUGUAACUGACGUUGAGGCUCGAAAGCGUGGGGAGCAAACAGGAUUAGAUACCCUUGUAGUC
rnacentral:rRNA from 1 species